GACAGAGGUGGCCAAGCGUUUAGGCGGAAUCACGUGGCUUAAAAGCGUGUGUAGGCGGGCUGAUCAAGUACCUUGUGAAAAUCCCACGGCCUCAACCGUGGAACUGCUUGGUAGUACUGCUUUUUCUUGAGCCAGCUUAGGGGCAAACCGGAACAAAUGGUGGAGCGGUGAAAAUGCGUAGAGAUCCGGAGGAACACCAAAGGCGAAGGCAAGGUGUCCUGGGGAGUACCGUGACGCUCAGGUGCGAAAGCCAGGGGAGCGAACGGGG
rnacentral:rRNA from 1 species